GCGGUCGUAGCUCAGCAGGAUAGAGCACGAGAUUCCUAAUCUCGGGGUCGUGGGUUCGAAUCCCGCCGAUCGCACCA
rnacentral:tRNA from 1 species